rnacentral:rRNA from 1 species
AGUCAAUAGAUACCCAGGUAGUCCACGCCGUAAACGAUGAGUACUAGGUGUAGGAGGUAUCGACUCCUUCUGUGCCGCAGUUAAACACAAUAAGUACUCCGCCUGGGAAGUACGGUCGCAAGAUUAAAACUCAAAGGAAUUGACGGGGGGUCCCGGCACAAGCAGCGGAGCAUGUGGUUUAAUUCGAAGCAACGCGAAGAACCUUACCUAGACUUGACAUCUCCUGAAUAGUGUAGAGAUACAUGAAGCCCUUCGGGGUCAGGAAGACAGGUGGUGCAUGGUUGUCGUCAGCUCGUGUCGUGAGAUGCUGGG